AGCUCUGAGAUCAGAUACACUGUGGA
rnacentral:piRNA from 1 species